AGUAGAUCGCCAGCCAUUUGCCAUUUGCAGUGCUGUAAAUAAUCGAAAUUAUUAUCAAAAUAUAAUCUUAAAAUUUUAUUGUAUUAUCAAAAUAAUAAAUACAUAUUCCAAUGUCCUCACUGAAAGCAAAAGAUAAGUCAGAGCCAGUGGCAUAUAGCGAAGCAGCUUUAAGAAACAAUGCAGUGGUUGUGGAAUAUUGUAGAACUUCGAUGGCUGCGUUGUCAGGUUCUACUGCAGGAGUGCUCGGCCUUACGGUAUCUAUGGGUUUGCAUUCUACGUAUUUGCAGUGGUCAUCCUUUGGGUGAUGUUCAUGUUGAAAUCAGGUUCCAAUUGGUUAAAUAUUAUGUGUCAAGACAAAGCUUAUUGACAAAUGGAUUCUUGAGCUCUAUUUACCUAUGUACUAUUCUGGACAUUUAUAUAUGGGAUGGUGCAUGUAUAUUAGCUGAAAUAAAUAAUAAUUUGUAUUUAUAAA